rnacentral:rRNA from 1 species
ACUCAAAGGAAUAGACGGGGGCCCGCACAAGCGGUGGAGUAUGUGGUUUAAUUCGACGCUACGCGCAGAACCUUACCAACCUUUGACAUGGGUGUCGCGAGACCUGGAAACAGGUUUCUUCAUUUAGUUGGACACCACACAGGUGCUGCAUGGCUGUCGUCAGCUCGUGUCGUGAGAUGUUGGGUUAAGUCCCGCAACGAGCGCAACCCUCACCUUUAGUUGCUACCAUUCAGUUGAGCACUCUAGAGGAACUGCCGGUGUAAGCCGGAGGAAGGUGGGGAUGACGUCAAGUCCUCAUGGCCCUUACAGGUUGGGCUACACACGUACUACAAUGGCGAUGACAGAGGGAAGCCAGCCCGCGAGGGUGAGCUGAUCCCAAAAAGUCGCCUCAGUUCGGAUUGCACCCUGCAACUCGGGUGCAUGAAGUCGGAAUCGCUAGUAAUCGCGAAUCAGCAGGUCGCGGUGAAUACGUUCCCGGGCCUUGUACACACCGCCCGU